AUGCGAGUCGAUGGGAUACCUAAAUUUCCAUGGCGAACUGCUCAGUAACACGUGAUCAACUUACCCUGUGGAGAGAAAUAACUUCGGGAAACUGAAGAUAAUUUCUCAUAAUUGAAAAUGCUUGGAAAGGUUUUUCAAUAAAAGAACAUUUCAAACGGGAAAUUAUGCCGCAGGAUAGGAUCGCGUCCGAUUAUGGCAGUUGGUGAGGUAAUGGCUCACCAAACCUAUUAUCGGUAAGGGCCGUGAGAGCGGAAGCCCUGAGAUGGGUACUGAGACAAUGACCCAGGUCUUACGAGACGCAGCAGGCGCGAAACCUUCACAAUGCACGAAAGUGAGAUGAGGUUACCCGGAGUGCUACAAAGUAGCUGUGGCAGGUGAGUAAGAUUCCCUGCUAGGAAGGAGAGGGCAAGGCUGGUGCCAGCCGCCGCGGUAAAACCAGCUCUUCAAGUGGUCGGGAUUAUUAUUGGGCUUAAAGUGUUCGUAGCCUGUUUAGUAAGUUCCUGGUUAAAUCGGAUAGCUUAACUAUCUGUCUGCUAGGAAUACUACUAUACUAGGGGGCGGGAGAGGUCUGAGGUACUCCAGGGGUAGCGGUGAAAUGCUAUAAUCCUUAGGGGACCACCAGUGGCGAAGGCGUCAGACUGGAACGCGCCCGACGGUGAGGGACGAAAGCCAGGGGAGCGAACCGGAUUAGAUACCCGGGUAGUCCUGGCUGUAAACGAUGCGUGCUAGGUGUUGGUAUAGCUAUGAGCCGUAUCAGUGCCGUAGGAAAACCGAUAAGCGCGCCGCCUGGGGAGUACGGUCGCAAGGCUGAAACUUAAAGGAAUUGGCGGGCGAGCACCACAAGGGGUGAAGCCUGCGGUUCAAUUGGAUUCAACGCCGGAA
rnacentral:rRNA from 1 species